rnacentral:lncRNA from 1 species
UCAGGGCAAUAAAUGGAUGAUUAUUCCUCUCUGAUAUUAUAUAAACAAAUCUGGCACUAGCAAGAGAAUCCAAUUUUAGGAGCAUGCUUAUUGUGAUAUCCUCAGUGAUUUCUUUUACAAUACAUUCUGCUCAGGCCUGUGAACUUUGUUAAACUGUCCAGGUAAGAAAAAUAUGCAUAGUCACACUUAGUUCAUAAAAAUGUUUUUCAAACAUUAGG